rnacentral:rRNA from 1 species
CCUACGGGAGGCAGCAGUGGGGAAUAUUGCACAAUGGGGGAAACUCUGAUGCAGCCACGCCGCGUGAGUGAAGACGGAACUCGUUGUGUUAAGCUCUAUCAGUAGGGAAGUAAACGACGGUACCUGUGUAUGAAGCCCCGUCUAACUACGUGCCAGCAGCCGCGGUAACACGGAGGCUGCAAGCGUUAUCCGGAUUUACUGGGUGUAAAGGGGGCGUAGUCGGUUGUGUAAGUCAGGAGUGAAAGGCGGAGGCUCAACGUCGGAACUGCUGGUGAUACUGUACGGCUGGAGUGCAGUAGAGGUAGGUGGAAUGCAUGGUGUAGCGGUGAAAUGCGUAGAGAUUAGAAAGAACACCGAUGGCGAGGGCAGCUUACUGGGCU